UAGGCAUGAUUAUGGUUUUAAUCCCAUUU
rnacentral:piRNA from 1 species